UCUCUCUCUCAUACUUUUGUGUUUUUGUGGGUAUGCUAUGCUUUCUUUCAUGUCUUGGGUUCUGUUAAUUGAUUUGGUAAGCAAUUUCAUCAAUAUUUUAGCAAUGCCUUCAUCAAUUGAUGAGCGGUUCUCUUUUUCCCUUAAAAUGAGCUGUUUCUUCACUACAUAGCCGUGCUGUGUCAAUCUCUUAAGCAAUUUCGGUGUUCAAACAGUUCACAAUAUCAAUAUCAAUAUUGUAGCCUAAUUUUUCCUUUUUUUUUUAAUCCAAAUUUUGUUUUUUGUUGUGACAGUGCGUUGGCUACUUCCCAUGAGCAAACCAAAUGGAUCCAAAAGGGUUGGUUCAUAUUUUGCUUAUGGGAGGAUUUGAAUAGUUGGAGCUAUUUGAAUAUAUAUUUUUUUUGUUUUUGUUUUUUGCAGCUGCUAUCCAUAGCAUUUCAAUGCACCAUGUUGACCCAUUAAAGGUAUCACAAUUCUUUAAUAGGAUGCUUGGCUUCCAUUGGGAACAAAAUUAUUCCAUCAGUUUUUAGUUUACGAAUUUUUUUAAAUUUAAUAUUGUCAUUUCUAAGUUAUUGAAAAUGAUUUAUAAUAAAAACAUAUAUACUCAUUUCUUAUUGCAGAACAUUUGUUGUGUCAUAUGGUUGCUUGGUCUAAUUAUUAGUUCCCUAUUAUUUGUCAUGUGUCAUUUUAGCUACCAUUUAGCAGGUUUGUUUAUGUAGUGUUGAUUAAAUUUUUUUUCUUCAAUUUCUUUAUGGAUAACUGAAAGAGGAGUGUAGAGAAGUUGGGCAUAAUUGUUUGUGUUUCUUUAUAGUUUUGACUUCAUUUAUAUGAAUAUGACAUGUGUUGAAAUCUCUGUUAUUAGAAUCAUACAAUUUGCGAUUUGAUUCAGUGAGUAAUCAAUACGAACAGGUUGUAUGAAUCGCAAAUAGCCAUGAAUCGUAGGUGAAUCGGUGAACCAAAUCGGUAAAUCGUGAAGUGAAUCAAUUCGAUUCGCUAAACUCUAUGUUUGACUUUCUUUUUUAGUUUUUUAUUGUUGGAAAAGGGUUAACACAACCCUUUUAAGGUCUUUAAGAUUACUAUAUGCCAUCUUUUGACUUUCUCCCUCCCUCUUUUGUUAGUUUUUCAUAUCUCUUUAUCCCCUUAACAUUAUAUCCAUAAGUCAGUGGAGCUUUGUUAGUUUUAUUUAUAGAUUUAUUUAUUUUUGAUGUUGUUGUUGUUGAUGAAAUAUAUAUAAAAUUAAGAUGAAUCUUCCUUUCGAAUUCUGCAAACCCUCUAGCUCCUUCAUCUGUGUUGGGCACACCCAUCUUUUAUUAUUGUAGUUUUCUGUCUUUUUUAUUUUUUUUAUUUUUUUAUUUUAUCAGGGAAUUAGUUUUAGCAUGAAAGAUCUUUUCUCCUAACAUCAAUGCACAAUUUUUUGUUGAGUUGGAGUGUUGUAGAGAAAUUAUCAAUUCAUGUAAGGUUGAUGUUUUUAUUCUUAAUGCUUUGUACAUGUGACGGAGGCAUCAGAAUCUGGUGAGGAGAAUAGUUCUAAAGGCUCCAUCAAUAGAGGGAAUGGAAGGUGAGGGAGAGAUUAAUCGAAUGAUCAAAUUUUUGGUUGAGGAAAAAGUUCCCCUUUGCUAAACUUUUGAACUGGGAUUGGUGUAAUCCAUAGACAUAUAUGCUUGAUUGGAGGAUUAGGUGAUUGCCCAAAGAGAGGUGGUUUUGUUGAUUAAGGUUUAGUUUCUUCUUUUUUUUCUUUUUUUUUUUUUUGUUGAUUUUUACUUUCUAUUUUUCUUUUCCUUAGUAAUUAGCAAGAGAGAAGUGUAAUAUGAAGAGUCUGAGACUUAAGCUUAGUAAAGUGAAAUGAGUGUUGUAACUAACUAAUACUACUGAGACUUGAGUGUAAUAUGUUCAUGAGUUUGCUAAUCAUACAUUUUAUUUAACUAAUUGAUA